rnacentral:rRNA from 1 species
GACGAACGCUGGCGGCGUGCUUAACACAUGCAAGUCGAGCGGUAAGGCCCUUUCGGGGGUACGACGAGCGGCGAACGGGUGAGUAACACGUGGGUGACCUGCCCUCAGCUCUGGGAGUAAGCCCGGGAAACUGGGUCUAAUACCGGAUAUGACUCCAUGACGCAUGUUGUGGGGUGGAAAGCCUUGUGCGGCUGAGGAUGGGCCCGCGGCCUAUCAGCUUGUUGGUGGGGUGAUGGCCACCAAGGCGACGACGGGUAGCCGGCCUGAGAGGGCGACCGGCCACACUGGGACUGAGACGCGGCCCAGACUCCUACGGGAGGCAGCAGUGGGGAAUCUUGCGCAAUGGGCGAAAGCCUGACGCAGCGACGCCGCGUGAGGGAUGACGGCC